CCCAGAGUUCCAUGCUUUAGCAUAUGGCGAAAACGUAAACUCUUGACACAAUGUUCGAUAAACAAAUCCAAGUCAGUGAAAAGACGACGAAGCUGCGUCAAGGAAGAAAAUAUAUGCAUUUAUGAUUUAGGUAUAAUGAGCGCACGAACUAGUUUCAGACCAUGGGAAUAUCGUAAAAUUGACGAAGCUCUUCUGCAACUGGCACUCAAUUUUCCUAACUACGAUAAAAAAAGUGACACUGUGACUGUCACUGACAGUAAGUGCAGCAAAAUAUUAUUCACGCAAUCAGUCAACAACCCUACGCUUGAGAACUGACAAACAUCGCUUAAUUUGCACUAUUGCAUUUAUAUGCACCAGGUUGGAACUACUUGGCCAGUCAUGUCGAUCUGGCCCCAAGACCAAGUUGAAUCGUCCCAAGUCAUUUGCCCUUAUUCGUGUUCGCCCUGAUUCGCAUUCGCCCCAGUCCCUGGUUGCCCUUGUGCAUGUUUGCCCUAGGUCAAUUUACCCUGAUUUUUAUGCAGUUAAGCUGCAUUAUGUGAGCACCC
rnacentral:lncRNA from 1 species